CUUGGCUGGUUUAUGCCUCCUCCUCUCCUGGAUGGUUGCAGCACAGAACGGGAAAUUGCAAUCAUGCUGCCUGUAGUUUAAAAAACAAACACCCUAACUUGAUUUUACCAGAGUUUGCUGGCAAAUGCUGCAAGAUGGUGGAAGAAAUACCUGUUCAAUCACAGCAUAUCCCCACGUAUUUUGGCUGCUGCUUGGGUCCCAGUAGUUCCCAGAAUACGCUGGAUCAGUCUUUGCAGGGCUUGUCCCUAGCUG
rnacentral:lncRNA from 1 species